GAUGAACGCUGGCGGCGUGCUUAACACAUGCAAGUCGAACGGAAUUUAAAAGUGGAAGUUUUCGGGUGGAAACUUUUAAAUUUAGUGGCGGACGGGUGAGUAACGCGUGGGUAACCUGCCGUAUACAGGGGGAUAACACUUAGAAAUAGGUGCUAAUACCGCAUAAGCGCACAGUGUCGCAUGACACAGUGUGAAAAGCCUCGACGGUAUACGAUGGACCCGCGUCUGAUUAGCUAGUUGGUGGGGUAGAGGCCUACCAAGGCGACGAUCAGUAGCCGGCCUGAGAGGGUGACCGGCCACAUUGGGACUGAGACACGGCCCAAACUCCUACGGGAGGCAGCAGUGGGGAAUAUUGCACAAUGGGGGAAACCCUGAUGCAGCGACGCCGCGUGAGUGAAGAAGUAUUUCGGUAUGUAAAGCUCUAUCAGCAGGGAAGAAAAUGACGGUACCUGACUAAGAAGCCCCGGCUAACUACGUGCCAGCAGCCGCGGUAAGAC
rnacentral:rRNA from 1 species